rnacentral:rRNA from 1 species
AGGACGACGCUGGCGGCGUGCUUAACACAUGCAAGUCGAACGGUGAAGGGAAGCUUGCUUCCCGGAUCAGUGGCGAACGGGUGAGUAACACGUGGGCAAUCUGCCCCAGACUUUGGGAUAACUACUCGAAAGAGUAGCUAAUACCGAAUAUUCAGCCUUGCAGGCAUCUGCGAGGCUGGAAAGUUUCUCGGUCUGGGAUGAGCCCGCGGCCUAUCAGCUAGUUGGUGAGGUAAUGGCUCACCAAGGCGACGACGGGUAGCCGGCCUGAGAGGGCGACCGGCCACACUGGGACUGAGACACGGCCCAGACUCCUACGGGAGGCAGCAGUGGGGAAUAUUGCGCAAUGGGCGAAAGCCUGACGCAGCAACGCCGCGUGCGGGAUGAAGGCCUUCGGGUUGUAAACCGCUUUCAGCAGGGAAGAAGCGAAAGUGACGGUACCUGCAGAAGAAGCACCGGCUAACUACGUG